rnacentral:tRNA from 1 species
GCUCUCGUGGCCCAGUUGGUUAGUGCGUCGUACUUUAUAUAAGCAGUUCGGGAGUAUAUGCGAAGGUCAAGAGUUCGCUCCCCUCCGGGAGCA